rnacentral:rRNA from 1 species
GAAAUGAUAGCUAAUACCGGAUUAAGUAUAGAUUCGUUUCUAUAUUAAAAGGAGCCUUUAAAGCUUCGCUUAAAGAUGGGCCUGCGGCGUAUUAGCUAGUUGGUGAGGUAAUGGCUUACCAAGGCGACGAUGCGUAGCCGAACUGAGAGGUUGAUCGGCCACAUUGGGACUGAGACACGGCCCAAACUCCUACGGGAGACAGCAGUUAGGAAUAUUCGUCAAUGGGGGAAACCCUGAACGAGCAAUGCCGCGUGAACGAUGAAGGCCCUAUGGGUUGUAAAGUUCUGUUGCAUGGGACGAACGGCUAGGAUAGGAAAUGAUCUUAGUGUGACGGUACCAUGCCAGAAAGCUCCGGCUAACUACGUGCCAGCAGCCGCGGUAAUACGUAGGGAGCGAGCGUUAUCCGGAUUUAUUGGGCGUAAAGGGUGCGUAGGCGGUUUGUUAAGUAUGAGAUUAAAGCCUGAGGCUUAACCUCAGUUCGUUUCAUAAACUGGCAGACUUGAGUAUGGCAGAGGUAAACGGAAUUUCUAGUGUAGCGGUUAAAUGCGUAGAUAUUAGAAGGAACACCAGUGGCGAAGGCGGUUUACUGGGCCAUAACUGACGCUGAGGCACGAAAGCGUGGGGAGCAAAUAGGAUUAGAUACCCUAGUAGUCCACGCCGUAAACGAUGAGUACUAAGUGUUGGG